rnacentral:hammerhead_ribozyme from 1 species
GCACUGCUGAGGAGUCCCAUACUAGGACGAAACGGCCGUCAGGUGA